rnacentral:misc_RNA from 1 species
AACGCACAUUGCACUGUAUGGAAUUCCGGACAGUAUGUCUGUUUGAGCAUCAUUUCUCUAUCCUCCACUCAAUACCUGGGUCUUCUCAGGUCAUUUAGUGUAGGGACUUGAAGCGUAGCUGGCUCGCUCAGCUUGCUUCCAAAUAACCAGCAAACAGUUGGCGUAAGAAUCUCUACUGCAGCCGCUUGACGCGUUUGCUUCAACUUGACUGGGGCACGCCAUGCGCGUUCUCUGAACUUUGAUCUCAAAUCAGACAAGACUACCCGCUGAACUUAA